GACGAACGCUGGCGGCGUGCUUAACACAUGCAAGUCGAACGGAAAGGCCCUGCUUUUGUGGGGUGCUCGAGUGGCGAACGGGUGAGUAACACGUGAGUAACCUGUCCUUUACUUUGGGAUAACUUCAGGAAACUGGGGCUAAUACCGGAUAGGAGCUCCUGCUGCAUGGUGGGGGUUGGAAAGUUUCGGCGGUUGGGGAUGGACUCGCGGCUUAUCAGCUUGUUGGUGGGGUAGUGGCUUACCAAGGCUUUGACGGGUAGCCGGCCUGAGAGGGUGACCGGCCACAUUGGGACUGAGAUACGGCCCAGACUCCUACGGGAGGCAGCAGUGGGGAAUAUUGCACAAUGGGCGGAAGCCUGAUGCAGCAACGCCGCGUGCGGGAUGACGGCCUUCGGGUUGUAAACCGCUUUCGCCUGUGACGAAGCGUGAGUGACGGUAAUGGGUAAAGAAGCACCGGCUAACUACGUG
rnacentral:rRNA from 1 species